UACGGAGGGGGCUAGCGUUGUUCGGAAUUACUGGGCGUAAAGGGCGCGUAGGCGGCGCGAUAAGUUGGGCGUGAAAGGCCCGGGCUCAACCCGGGGACUGCGCUUGAGACUGGCACGCUCGAGUUCGGGAGAGGAUGGUGGAAUUCCCAGUGUAGAGGUGAAAUUCGUAGAUAUUGGGAAGAACACCGAUGGCGAAGGCAGCCAUCUGGACCGACACUGACGCUGAGGCGCGAAAGCGUGGGGAGCAAACAGG
rnacentral:rRNA from 1 species